UCGAAGUGAUUAUGUCCUAAUCA
rnacentral:siRNA from 1 species